UCGGGUGUGGUGUACGGCACACCGCAGGCUUUGAUGUUGGGCGAGCGCCUCAAUAUAUGUACCUUGCAGACCGGGGUUCGACUCCCCGCAUCCGAA